rnacentral:rRNA from 1 species
UACGUAGGGUGCGAGCGUUAAUCGGAAUUACUGGGCGUAAAGCGUGCGCAGGCGGUUUUGUAAGCCAGAUGUGAAAUCCCCCGGGCUUAACCUGGGAAUGGCAUUUGGGACUGCAAGGCUUGAGUGUGGCAGAGGAGACUGGAAUUCCUGGUGUAGCAGUGAAAUGCGUAGAUAUCAGGAGGAACACCGAUGGCGAAGGCAGGUCUCUGGGCAAUUCCUGACGUGAGGCGCGAAAAGCGUGGGGGGAGCAAAACGGGG